rnacentral:rRNA from 1 species
AUUGGACGCUGGCGGAAUGCUUUACACAUGCAAGUCGAACGGCAGCACGGGGGCAGCCCUGGUGGCGAGUGGCGAACGGGUGAGUAAUACAUCGGAACGUGCCCGGUCGUGGGGGAUAACGUAGCGACAGUUACGCUAAUACCGCAUACGAUCUGAGGAUGAAAGCGGGGGACCUUCGGGCCUCGCGCGAUCGGAGCGGCCGAUGUCAGAUUAGGUAGUUGGUGGGGUAAAGGCCUACCAAGCCGACGAUCUGUAGCUGGUCUGAGAGGACGACCAGCCACACUGGGACUGAGACACGGCCCAGACUCCUACGGGAGGCAGCAGUGGGGAAUUUUGGACAAUGGGCGCAAGCCUGAUCCAGCCAUUCCGCGUGCAGGACGAAGGCCUUCGGGUUGUAAACUGCUUUUGUACGGAACGAAAAGGCUCUGGCUAAUACCCGGGGCUCAUGACGGUACCGUAAGAAUAAGCACCGGCUAACUACGUG